AAUUUUCGGAUCGCGGAUUGGAGGUCGUUCGGUGGUCGCGCGUGGUUUGGCUCAAGCCGAGCGGCGUGCGCCGUGGGAGGUCGAUUGCGAGUGACGACAAGCAAUCGGAACGCGAUAAAAGGUGGGGGGUCUCCAUCCCGAAGCAACUGAGCUUCUUCCUAUGUCUUAGUACUUUACCGAUUUUGCAUAUUGUAUAUUGUUAUGCAUUAUAGGGUGAUGAUACAUGCAUUCCUACUCCUUAUAUGAUGUCUAUGAUUAAUAUAGUAUUAUGAUAUGGAUAUUUGAUGUAAUGGACAUAAGGAUUGGGAGAUGACAUUGGUAAACCUAUGAUGCUAAAUGGAAGAGGAACCUAGUGUUGUGUCUAAAGACAUAGUUUACUAGUGGCAUUGGACUUAGUGUGAUAGGAACACUUAUAUUUUGGACGAGUGGCAUGUAAACAAUGAUCAUAACAAUAACGAGUGGCAUUGGAACCUAGUUAUGAUAUUGCAUGAGAAUCUAGGGUAGUUGACACUUAUAGCAUUGAAUAUAGGGAAUAGGUGCAUUUUCCUAGUUUGUGGCAUAUUGCAUGAAAUGACAUAUUGCAUGAGAAUCUAGUGUAGUCGACACUUAUGAUAUUGAGUAUAGGGAUUAGUUGAGUUUCCCUAGUUAUGAUAUAUUGCAUGGGUGGAUUUCCCUAUUUGCGAUUCAAGUAGAGAACCUAAAGUGUCAUGUUGUUAACCCUAGAUGAUAGGGUGUUUCCAGUUGAUGACACUAUCCUUAGUUGAUAGGAUGUUCCCAGUUCAUGAGAUUGGAUCGAGCUCACAUAGCCUGUCUGCGCCUGUGGUGGUCGCCCCACACAAGUAGUGCACUCCGAAGUUGUCACCCGAGGAGGGUUAACGUAUUUACCCUUGGACUAACGUAUCUGUCCACAGGCGAUUUCGGGGGUAGUUGAGCCUGGGCUCCUCCCCUAUGAAACUUACUUACGUGAGACUGUGCGCGACUUCAAGUUCGCCGAGAGAUUGGGUAACCUGAUGAGUUACAUAUUAUUGUGCAUAAUAGCUUGGUGUUUAGACAUAGCCUUAUUGAUGAACCUAGCAGCAUGGUAGCUAGCCUUUACUAUGAGUUACAUCGAUAUUGAGUAUAGUCGCUUGGUAGUCAGAGUAGUGGAUUUGCCUACAUACAGUGAGUGGACAUACUAUUCCUUUACCUAUGAGAUUUGGGAGAGACAGCUUGUAGCUAGCAGAGCGAGAUUGAGUCGGGCAAGGAGCGGGGUAGCUUGUUGCCUAGGACCUUUGAGAUUGAGUCGGGCAAGGAGCGGGGUAGCUCUUUGCCUAGGACCUUCGAGAUUGAGUCGGGCGAGGAGCGGGGUAGCUCUUUGCCUAGGACCUUCGAGAUUGAGUCGGGCGAGGAGCGGGGUAGCUCUUUGCCUAGGACCGUUGAGAUUUGAGAUCUUAGGCAAGUUGGUCUAGUCGAUUGGAUAGUAACGUGAAUAGCAUAAGUGAAUUGCAUUUAUACCAUGAUUAGACAUAGUAGACUGCAUAACUAUGUUGUAGUUGUAUUCAUUACACUGUUGAAGCAUACUAGCAUGAUAGUAGGAUAUUGCUAGAUGAUGUUCCAUGCAUCCUUUGCAUUUGAUGGCAUAGUAGAUAUAGUAGCAGUUAUUUCUAUCUAUCUUUCUAUCUAUCUAUCUGUGCCAGUUUGGACCUAGUAGGAAGAUCGGCGGAGUCGGCGGCCGAACCCACUGGGAACUAUAUUUAUAUAGUUCUCACCCCGUGUGGUUUUGGGAUACAGGUACACACGAGAGCGGACCGGCAGAUGAUCGCGGCAAGGGCUCAGCGCCCUAGUGCUAGUUGGUAGGUGCUUUCCUACUGCAUUAGAGUUACCCUAUAUGUUGAGAGUAGAUGAUGUAUAGGAUGUGAGGUAUAUUUUGAGGAAAAUGUAAAGUUCAAGUUUAUGCUUUGGAUGAAUGUAAAGAUAACUAAUUGUAUUAAAGUUGAACUAAUGUAAUAGCUUAGUAUCUCUCUCUUUUGUUUCACUUGUAUGUUUAUUACUCGUGACGCUUGUUCUUGUAAUGUUCAGCACUGUUUGUGCUCUCGCUGUUGUUGCAUGAUCGUGUAUGUAUUCAAGUUGAUUUCCUGGGGACUUGUUGUACAUGAUCUCGUCGUUUAGCCUUGGGCGGACAGGGGAGGUGCUGUCCGUUCGGCGGUUCGUCCGCCGCGCCCGAUCCGUGCCAAAUCGGUAGCGGCCUCGGGGCGGGGGCGUGACAAGAUCCCUUCCAAACGAGUUGCAGUGCUAGAGGAGUACCUCCCACAGGUAGUUUUGGGGUAUUUAUGUACACAUGUUUGUUGUCUGGGUACUCGCUGGAGCGAGUGAUGUAGUAGACAUUUUGUAUGUACUGGAACCCCUCGAGGUUUUAUA
rnacentral:lncRNA from 1 species